rnacentral:rRNA from 1 species
CCUACGGGAGGCAGCAGUGGGGAAUCUUCCGCAAUGGGCGAAAGCCUGACGGAGCAACGCCGCGUGAUCGAAUGAAGGCCUUCGGGUUGUAAAGAUCUGUUGACAAGGACGAAUAAGCAAUGCAAAUAGUUUUGUGUAUGACUGUACCUGUUUAGAAAGCUCCGGCUAACUACGGGCCAGCAGCCGCUGUAAUACUGCGUGAGCAAGCGUUGUCCGGAAUUACUGGGCGUAAAGGGCGCUUAGGUGGGCGCUUAAGUCAGGUGUGAAGACUUCGGGCUGAACGUGGAGACUGCAUUUGAAACUGGGUGUCUUGAGGGUAGGAGAGGAAAGUGGAAUUCCUAGUGUAGCGGUAAAAUGCGUAGAGAUUAGGAGGAAUACCAGUGGCGAAGGCGACUUUCUGGAAUGUAACUGACGCUGAGGCGCGAAAGCGUGGGUAGCGAACGGGAUUAGAUACCCCAGUAGUC